AUUUAUAUAGUUUAAAGUAAAACAUUACAUUUUCACUGUAAAAAUAAAGAACACUUUUAUAAAUA
rnacentral:tRNA from 1 species